GGAAUCUGCCUGGUAGUGGGGGAUAACGCUCGGAAACGGACGCUAAUACCGCAUACGUCCUACGGGAGAAAGCAGGGGACCUACGGGCCUUGCGCUAUCAAAUGAGCCUAGGUCGGAUUAACUAGUUGGUGAGGUAAUGGCUCACCAAGGCGACGAUCCGUAACUGGUCUGAGAGGAUGAUCAGUCACACUGGAACUGAGACACGGUCCGACUCCUACGGGAGGCAGCAGUGGGGAAUAUUGGACAAUGGGCGAAAGCCUGAUCCAGCCAUGCCGCGUGUGUGAAGAAGGUCUUCGGAUUGUAAAGCACUUUAAGUUGGGAGGAAGGGCAUUAACCUAAUACGUUAGUGUUUUGACGUUACCGACAGAAUAAGCACCGGCUAACUCUGUGCCAGCAGCCGCGGUAAUACAGAGGGUGCAAGCGUUAAUCGGAAUUACUGGGCGUAAAGCGCGCGUAGGUGGUUCGUUAAGUUGGAUGUGAAAUCCCCGGGCUCAACCUGGGAACUGCAUUCAAAACUGUCGAGCUAGAGUAUGGUAGAGGGUGGUGGAAUUUCCUGUGUAGCGGUGAAAUGCGUAGAUAUAGGAAGGAACACCAGUGGCGAAGGCGACCACCUGGACUGAUACUGACACUGAGGUGCGAAAGCGUGGGGAGCAUACAGGAUUAGAUACCCUGGUAGUCCACGCCGUACACGAUGUCAAC
rnacentral:rRNA from 1 species